GGCCACCCUAGGGGGGCUACAACACAGGCAGGUUAUCCUGCCGUAAGCAAACGGAAGACAGAAA
rnacentral:ncRNA from 1 species